rnacentral:rRNA from 1 species
AUUGAACGCUGGCGGCACGCCUAACACAUGCAAGUCGAGCGGCAGCGCGAUAUGUAGCAAUACAUAUUGGCGGCGAGCGGCGGACGGGUGAGGAACACGUAGGAACCUACCCUCGAGUGGGGGAUAACCAAGGGAAACUUUGGCUAAUACCGCAUGAUUUCGAGAGAGCAAAGCUGCCGCAAGGUGGCGCUCGAGGAGGGGCCUGCGUCCGAUUAGCUAGUUGGUGAGGUAAGAGCUCACCAAGGCGAUGAUCGGUAACUGGUCUGAGAGGACGACCAGUCACACUGGGACUGAGACACGGCCCAGACUCCUACGGGAGGCAGCAGUGGGGAAUAUUGGACAAUGGGGGCAACCCUGAUCCAGCGAUGCCGCGUGAGUGAAGAAGGCCUUCGGGUCGUAAAGCUCUUUAGGUUGGGAAGAAGAGUGAUGGAAGAAAUGCUAUCACUUUGACGGUACCGACAGAAUAAGCACCGGCAAACUCUGUGCCAGCAGCCGCCGUAAAAC